rnacentral:lncRNA from 1 species
ACCGGGUGUCCGAGUCUCUCCGAGCCCCAGCUAAUCCCGGGAGUGCACAGGCCCUCGGCAAGGAGUUUCCCGCAAAUGCACCACGGUUAAUUCAGGUUUUAUCCAAUCCGAUGACCCUCACAAAUUGUUUGCACCCGGUGGGUUUCGAACUUGAGACAUUGAAAAGGAUCAAACCCCAAGGCUCAAGUCAAUUUCCACCAGGCCAACUCCCGAGGGUUCAAAGAAAACGGUUAACAACCCAUAUUAUCCACUAAAAAUGGGUUGGAUAAUGAACUUUUAAAAACGGACCAAAUAUG